UCCGUAGGCGGUCUUAUAAGUCAGUGGUGAAAGCCCAUCGCUCAACGAUGGAACUGCCAUUGAUACUGUAAGACUUGAAUGCUUAGGAAGUAACUAGAAUAUGUAGUGUAGCGGUGAAAUGCUUAGAUAUUACAUGGAAUACCAAUUGCGAAGGCAGGUUACUACUAAGUGAUUGACGCUGAUGGACGAAAGCGUGGGGAGCGAACA
rnacentral:rRNA from 1 species